UUCUUUCUUCUCCACCGCCUUCUCAUCCGCGCGUCCGGUGACGUGCCCUGCCCGCCGCGCGCACUCAGGCAACCUCUCGGCUGCUCACCGCCCACCGCUCCUUCCAUGCCCUUACGACCUCCCGGCCGCGCACCCCAGCCGCCGCCCACGCUCCGGCGACCUCUCGGCCACGCACCUCCCGGUCGCCGUCACGUGCCCCUGUGACCCCCCGUCGCCCGUGCUCCAGCGCCUCCUUCGACGACGAGCCACCGCUCCUCGAUGAGCUCGGCAUCAACACGCGCCAGAUCCGGAGCAAGACGCUCUCCAUCCUCUACCCGCUCCGCUCCGCCGACCCCUCCCUCCAUGUGGACGCCGACCUGUCUGGCCCUUUCCUCUUCCUCCUUUCCAGUAGCGAGGAUUGGCAUGGGAUUCGUGAUGUGGUCCACCAGGGUGUGCACCAGGUUGCUCGUUGAGCUUGCAUCAAGCGGAGAUGAGCACAAAGGGCUCAUUGUUUGAGUUUGCAAACUUGGUUUGUUGAGUAUCCUUGAUGGGCAGCCAAAAUUGAUGGGACUAAAGGAAAUUCUUCAUGUGUUGUUAUGUUUAUCUACCCUGAUAUGGCUCUAUCAGUGUCCGCACUAUUCAGUUUUAGCAUAUAUGCCGUUUCCCCUCUCAAGUUGCAAUUCAUCAUCCUAUUUGACUUCACACCUACACACCGCACAGUCUACUGCAAUGUUUUUUACUAGAUGAAAGGACAUAAGUAGUUAAUUUCACUUGGCGUGGCUUGUACUGAUGGAGAGCUGAAUGCUAAGGUUGAUUUUGUCCCAUGCACAUAUAUAUUUAGUAUUGUACUUAGAUUA